rnacentral:pre_miRNA from 1 species
AAAGACUUAAUUUCUGGGUUUUCAUGUUUAACGUUUGACCGUCCGUCUUAUAUGAAAUUUUUUCAUGCUUAUUAUUUUCAUUAUUGUUAGAUGAUAAAACAAGAAUAAUACUUUAUACGUGACUUAUUUUUUAAAAUUUUUUUAAAUGAGACAGACGGUCGACACGGAAACCCAG